GAUGAACGCUGGCGGCGUGCCUAAUACAUGCAAGUCGAACGAACAGACGAGGAGCUUGCUCCUCUGACGUUAGCGGCGGACGGGUGAGUAACACGUGGAUAACCUACCUAUAGGACUGGGAUAACUUCGGGAAACCGGAGCUAAUACCGGAUAAUAUAUUGAACCGCAUGGUUCAAUAGUGAAAGACGGUUUUGCUGUCACUUAUAGAUGGAUCCGCGCCGCAUUAGCUAGUUGGUAAGGUAACGGCUUACCAAGGCAACGAUGCGUAGCCGACCUGAGAGGGUGAUCGGCCACACUGGAACUGAGACACGGUCCAGACUCCUACGGGAGGCAGCAGUAGGGAAUCUUCCGCAAUGGGCGAAAGCUUGACGGAGCAACGCCGCGUGAGUGAUGAAGGUCUUCGGAUCGUAAAACUCUGUUAUUAGGGAAGAACAAAUGUGUAAGUAACUAUGCACGUCUUGACGGUACCUAAUCAGAAAGCCACGGCUAACUACGUG
rnacentral:rRNA from 1 species